rnacentral:lncRNA from 1 species
GAGGUAUACGCUAAGCGUGUUUCACUGGGUGUCACAUUCUGUGCACCCAUUGCCAAGGUGUACUCAGCCUUCCCCAGGUGUUUUGCAUCCUCGGCUUAAAAAGGUUUUUCAUGUAGUGAAAGCACUCCAACAAAAGAUGAUAAUUUGAAAGCGGUGGACAGGAAUGCCAUUUUUUUGAAAAGGAGGUUGAAAUUCCCGCCCUCGUGUCAUUGUCACGCACACAAUCAUUUUUUAUCAAUUAGAACAAAGGCAACAACGAGCAAGCCAUAUUGAAGUAAACACUUACAGACUUCUUCCACAACAACGUCUUCAAAAGUUAAACGUUCUCAUGCCAUCUGGCCAAAAGAUGACAUGGACAAAAAUCUUCAUUCCAGGAAGACCAACACAAUAAUGAGUAGCCAACGCCUUUAGGGCAUCUCCAAUGGUUGUAUGAUCAUCGUUGGUAAAAUUACCACAUAUAGAUGAUUUUGAUGACAUGACGCAUAAUAAAAAAAGAGAGAGAAUGAAAUCGUAUAAACUUGAAGCAACGGUUCACACACAAGCUCCGAGGCAAGCAUGGUUAUUUCUUCCAUGUUUAGUGGACCCGCUUAGUUAUUUUACAUACGAUUAACAUACACUCUAUUAAAGAGCUUGUAUGAUGUGUUGUUGGUUGUUGAUGUUGACACUUAUACCAACGAUUGAACAUACGGACUGUUGAAGAUGCUCUUAAUAAAGUAACGACAAAGUUGAUCGAUGAUGAAAAACUGGUUCCUUUGUAUAGUGAAAAUAUAUGUGUGGGUCAUUUAUUUUUUUGGUGCGUGACAUAGGAC